rnacentral:rRNA from 1 species
AAUGAACGCUGGCGGCAGGCUUAACACAUGCAAGUCGAACGCCCCGCAAGGGGAGUGGCAGACGGGUGAGUAACGCGUGGGAACAUACCCUUUCCUGCGGAAUAGCUCUGGGAAACUGGAAUUAAUACCGCAUACGCCCUACGGGGGAAAGAUUUAUCGGGGAAGGAUUGGCCCGCGUUGGAUUAGCUAGUUGGUGGGGUAAAGGCCUACCAAGGCGACGAUCCAUAGCUGGUCUGAGAGGAUGUUCAGCCACAUUGGGACUGAGACACGGCCCAAACUCCUACGGGAGGCAGCAGUGGGGAAUAUUGGACAAUGGGCGCAAGCCUGAUCCAGCCAUGCCGCGUGAGUGAUGAAGGCCUUAGGGUUGUAAAGCUCUUUCACCGAUGAAGAUAAUGACGGUAGUCGGAGAAGAAGCCCCGGCUAACUUCGUGCCAGCAGCCGCCGUAACAC